rnacentral:rRNA from 1 species
GACGAACGCUGGCGGCGGGCUUAACACAUGCAAGUCGAACGGAAAGGCCCUGCUUGUGUGGGGUGCUCGAGUGGCGAACGGGUGAGUAACACGUGAGUAACCUGCCCUUGACUUUGGGAUAACUUCAGGAAACUGGGGCUAAUACCGGAUAGGAGCUCCUGCUGCAUGGUGGGGGUUGGAAAGUUUCGGCGGUCGGGGAUGGACUCGCGGCUUAUCAGCUUGUUGGUGGGGUAGUGGCUUACCAAGGCUUUGACGGGUAGCCGGCCUGAGAGGGUGACCGGCCACAUUGGGACUGAGAUACGGACCAGACUCCUACGGGAGGCAGCAGUGGGGAAUAUUGCACAAUGGGCGGAAGCCUGAUGCAGCAACGCCGCGUGCGGGAUGACGGCCUUCGGGUUGUAAACCGCUUUCGCCUGUGACGAAGCGUGAGUGACGGUAAUGGGUAAAGAAGCACCGGCUAACUACGUG